AUGCAUUCGAUAAAUUAAUCCGAUACUAAUUAUAUCGAAUUAUAAUCUGUGAGUUAAUUUAUUGGUUGCAGUGUAUUAAAUAUGUGGCGUCUGUGGUGCUACCAAUAAAUAAUAUUGGGGUAGCUGUUGUGCAGAUAAAAGAUGAUACAUAAUUCAACGUAGAAAAUUUUCACCUCCUUUCACACACUUCAAAUAAAUGCGCGUUGAUAAAUAAUUUAUCAAUGGCGGUGGCGGCUGCCAGAAGCCAACAAAGUCGCACGGAUAAAAUGUUACAAUAAAGAGGCAUUAUUGUUGGCGGAGCUGAAGCACACGCCAAAGUGUGGAACGAUGUUUGGGUAAGACGGCGGCAAAAGGGGAUAAAAGUCAUUGAACUUACACAUCUUGCUGUCAGAUUAAUCAUGGACAAUAUCUUAAUUAAAGGUUUUCUUCUCUCCUCCUUCGUGUUCAGCAAUUUUCAUUUCUGUAGAGAGAUGCCUCUUUUUUUUUAGCCGCCCCACCAGCAGAGUGGACCCAAUAUGGGGCGCGUACCGAGGAAGGGCAAAAAAGGAGUAUACAUAUAACCUUCAUGCUUGUGAGAAUCACCUGCCCAGGCACAAAUCUCACUUAAUUUAUUUUUAUUAUUAUUGGUUUGAUUUAUAAAUGUGCGCGCUUUUGUAGACCAUGCCACAAGAUAAUUGUGUUGGAUUGUCUUUUUAGUCCAAUUGAUUUAUGACCGUAUAAUUCACUUCUCGCUCCUACUCGUUAAUUACUUUUGGUGUUUUGAUAAGAAUCACACACACACACACGUACCCCCAGAAGAUACAAAGUGGUGGUGCAUAAUUUACAAUUUUCCUAACAUGUAUAACUACCUCGGUAUAAGAUCCAAUUUCUGGGUAAAUUAAAUACCUUCCGGAAUUCCCGCCAAGAAUUUACGACUCUCACCGCGGUGUGUUAAUGAAAACAGACGCAAUCUCAAAUGAUUCAUUAAUUUUAAAUGAUGCCACAAGGUUAAUUCCAUCGCCUUUUUCUCCCAUCUUCCAACAUUGCGCUACCAACAGUUAGGUUUUGUGAUUCAAAUUAACAGAAACUUGUGAUUUAGUGGUGCUUAUCGCGAAAAUUUGGCAAAGAAAUGAUCUUUUCUGUACUACCUGCUUAAUGUGGUUUGUUCAUGUCUUCGUGGUUGACAAAAAUUUAUCUUUGUGUUUUAUUGCAAAAAAUUCGUAUUAAAAAUGAUGAUGUUUAAAUUAAACUAAUUGAGAGAGAGAGUUCAUAUAAAAUUGGAACAGUUAUAAAGGUUGACAUCUUAAUGAUGGUCAAAAUUUACAAGGAUGUGUUUAAAAGUUUUAUUACUUUUAUUCUUGUCAAAAGUGCU